rnacentral:tRNA from 1 species
GUCCCUGUGGCGUAGUGGUAACGCGCUCGCGUGCUGCGAGAGAGACCUCGGUUCGAAUCCGAGCAGAAGCA